rnacentral:rRNA from 1 species
AGAGUUUGAUCCUGGCUCAGGAUGAACGCUGGCGAUAGGCUUAACACAUGCAAGUCGAGGGGCAGCGGGGCAGCAAUGCCGCCGGCGACCGGCGCACGGGUGAGUGACACGUAUGCAACCUGCCUCAUACAGGGGGACAGCCCGGGGAAAUCCGGAUUAAUACCCCGUAACACAGGGACGCCGCAUGGCGGUAUUUGUUAAAGAAAUUUUCGGUAUGAGAUGGGCAUGCGCAGGAUUAGCUUGUUGGCGGGGCAACGGCCCACCAAGGCGACGAUCCUUAGGGGAACCGUGAGGUUAAUCCCCCACACCGGUACUGAGACACGGACCGGACUCCUACGGGAGGCAGCAGUGAGGAAUAUCGGUCAAUGGCCGUAAGGCUGAACCAGCCAAAUCGCGUGAAGGAAGAAGGUAUUACGUAUCGUAAACUUCUUUUGCGGGGGAAUAAACGGGGGGACGCGUCCCCUUUUGCAGGUACCCCGCGAAUAAGCAUCGGCUAACUCCGUGCCAGCAGCCGCGGUAAUACGGAGGAUGCGAGCGUUAUCCGGAUUUAUUGGGUUUAAAGGGUGCGCAGGUGGUUUUUUAAGUCGGCGGUGAAAUCCCGGUGCUCAACAUCGGAACUGCCGUCGAAACUGGGGAACUUGAGUGCGGACGAGGCAGGCGGAAUCAGUGGUGUAGCGGUGAAAUGCAUAGAUAUCGCUGAGAACUCCUAUAGCGCAGGCAGCCUGCCGGGCCGCAACUGACACUGAGGCACGAAAGUGCGGGUAUCAAACAGGAUUAGAUACCCUGGUAGUCCGCACGGUAAACGAUGAAUACUCGCCGUUUGCGAUACACGGUAAGCGGCCAAGCGAAAGCGUUAAGUAUUCCACCUGGGGAGUACGCCGGCAACGGUGAAACUCAAAGGAAUUGACGGGGGCCCGCACAAGCGGAGGAACAUGUGGUUUAAUUCGAUGAUACGCGAGGAACCUUACCCGGGCUCGAACGGCUUUCGAAUGUCUGUGAAAGCGGGCAGCCAGCAAUGGCGGAAGUCGAGGUGCUGCAUGGUUGUCGUCAGCUCGUGCCGUGAGGUGUCGGCUUAAGUGCCAUAACGAGCGCAACCCCUGUUUCCAGUUACCAUCGGUUCAAGCCGGGGACUCUGGAGAGACUGCCGCCGCAAGGUGCGAGGAAGGCGGGGAUGACGUCAAAUCAGCACGGCCCUUACGUCCGGGGCGACACACGUGUUACAAUGGGGGGGACAAAGGGCUGCUACCGGGCGACCGGAUGCGAAUCCCCAAACCCUCUCCCGGUUCGGAUAGGAGUCUGCAACCCGACUCCUUGAAGCCGGAUUCGCUAGUAAUCGCGCAUCAGCCAUGGCGCGGUGAAUACGUUCCCGGGCCUUGUACACACCGCCCGUCAAGCCAUGGAAGCCGGGGGUACCUGAAGUACGUAACCGCAAGGAUCGUCCUAGGGUAAAACCGGUAACCGGGGCUAAGUCGUAACAAGGUAACCGUA